AAUAUUGCGCAAUGGGCGGAAGCCUGACGCAGCGACGCCGCGUGAGCGAAGAAGGCCUUCGGGUCGUAAAGCUCUGUCCUUGGGGAAGAAGGCGAAAGCUUGACGGUACCCAAGAAGAAAGCCGCGGCUAACUACGUGCGAGCAGCCGAGGUAAUACGUAGGGGGCGAGCGUAUACCGGAAUGACUGGGCGUAAAGGGUGCGUAGGCGGCCUUUUAAGUCAGAUGUGAAAGGCUGCGGCUUAACCGCAGGACUGCAUUUGAAACUGGAAGGCUUGAGUGUCGGAGAGGGUAGUGGAAUUCCCAGUGUAGCGGUGAAAUGCGUAGAUAUUGGGAGGAACACCAGUGGCGAAGGCGACUACCUGGACGAUAACUGACGCUGAGGCACGAAAGCUAGGGGAGCAAACAGG
rnacentral:rRNA from 1 species